AACGAACGCUGGCGGCAUGCCUAACACAUGCAAGUCGAACGAGAACUUCGGGCCUUGUGGCGCACGGGUGCGUAACGCGUGGGAAGCUGCCCUUAGGUUCGGAAUCACUCACCGAAAGGGGUGCUAAUACCGGAUAAUGUCUUAGGACCAAAGAUUUCUCGCCUUUGGAUGGGCCCGCGUUGGAUUAGCUAGUUGGUAGGGUAAAAGCCUACCAAGGCGACGAUCCAUAGCUGGUCUGAGAGGAUGAUCAGCCACACUGGAGCUGAGACACGGCCCAGACUGCGACGGAGGGCAGCAGUGGAGAGUACUGGAGGAUGGGCGAAAGCCUGGUCCAGCAAUGCCGGGUAAGUGAUGAAGGCCUUAGGGUUGUAAAGCUGUAUUACCCGGGAUGAUAAUGACAGUACCGGGUGAAUAAGCUCCGGCUAACUCCGUG
rnacentral:rRNA from 1 species